rnacentral:rRNA from 1 species
GACGAACGCUGGCGGCGUGCUUAACACAUGCAAGUCGAACGAAGAGCGACGGAAGCUUGCUUCUAUCAAUCUUAGUGGCGAACGGGUGAGUAACGCGUAAUCAACCUGCCCUUCAGAGGGGGACAACAGUUGGAAACGACUGCUAAUACCGCAUACGAUCUAACCUCGGCAUCGAGGAUAGAUGAAAGGUGGCCUCUACAUGUAAGCUAUCACUGAAGGAGGGGAUUGCGUCUGAUUAGCUAGUUGGAGGGGUAACGGCCCACCAAGGCGAUGAUCAGUAGCCGGUCUGAGAGGAUGAAGGGCCACAUUGGGACUGAGACACGGCCCAGACUCCUACGGGAGGCAGCAGUGGGGAAUCUUCCGCAAUGGACGAAAGUCUGACGGAGCAACGCCGCGUGAGUGAUGACGGCCUUCGGGUUGUAAAGCUCUGUUAAUCGGGACGAAAGGCCUUCUUGCGAAUAGUGAGAAGGAUUGACGGUACCGGAAUAGAAAGCCACGGCUAACUACGUG